UACGUAGGGUGCGAGCGUUGUCCGGAAUUAUUGGGCGUAAAAGCGCGUGUAGGCGGCUUAGCAAGUCGGGUGUGAAAGCCCUCAGCUCAACUGAGGAAGUGCGCCCGAAACUGCUGAGCUUGAGUGCCGGAGAGGGUGGCGGAAUUCCCCAAGUAGAGGUGAAAUUCGUAGAUAUGGGGAGGAACACCGGUGGCGAAGGCGGCCACCUGGACGGCAACUGACGCUGAGGUGCGAAAGCGUGGGGAGCAAACAGG
rnacentral:rRNA from 1 species